rnacentral:rRNA from 1 species
UAGGGAAUCUUCUGCAAUGGACGAAAGUCUGACCGAGCAACGCCGCGUGAGUGAAGAAGGCUUUCGGAUCGUAAAACUCUGUUGUUAGAGAAGAACAAGGACGUUAGUAACUGAACGUCCACUGACGGUAUCUAACCAGAAAGCCACGGCUAACUACGUGCCAGCAGCCGCGGUAAUACGUAGGUGGCAAGCGUUGUCCGGAUUUAUUGGGCGUAAAGCGAGCGCAGGCGGUUUCUUAAGUCUGAUGUGAAAGCCCCCGGCUCAACCGGGGAGGGUCAUUGGAAACUGGGGGACUUGAGUGCAGAAGAGGAGAGUGGAAUUCCAUGUGUAGCGGUGAAAUGCGUAGAUAUAUGGAGGAACACCAGUGGCGAAGGCGGCUCUCUGGUCUGUAACUGACGCUGAGGAACGAAAGCGUGGGGAGCGAAAAGG